AACGCACAUUGCGCCCUUUGGUAUUCCGAAGGGCAUGCCUGUCCGAGCGUCAUUAUCAACCAUCAAGCCUGGCUUGUCGUCGGACCCCGUGUCGUCGUUUACCGGCGACGGGUCCGAAAGAUAAUGACGGUGUCGUGUCUGACCCUCGAUGCAACGAGCCUUUCGGCACGCAUUGAAGUGGUGGACCGGGCCGGUCGUACCUAUACAUUUAUCAAGGUUGACCUCGGAUCAGGUAGGAAUACCCGCUGAACUUAA
rnacentral:misc_RNA from 1 species